rnacentral:rRNA from 1 species
GAUUAAAUUAAAUAUUUAUUUAUAAUAAAAAUUCAAUUUUAGUUAAUUAAAGUAAUUUAUAUUUUAUUAUUUAUUAAGAAAAAAUAAUUUUUAUAAUAGUUUAAUGUAUUGAAAAAGAAUAUUUAAAAUUUUAAAAAAGAAGAAUUUAAAUUUCGUACCUUGUGCAUCAGGGUUGAUUAAUAAAAAAUUAAUUAUUUAAUAAUCUCGAAUUUAAAAGAGCUAAUUAAUUAUAAAUUUUAUUGUAAAAUAAAUAUUUAAAAUAAUUAAUUAGAAAUGAAACGUUAUUCGUUUUUAAAUAUAUCUAGUUUCUUAAUAAAUAAAUUUAAUUUAGUUAUUUAUAAUUAAAAUUUUAAAUUUUUAAUAUUUUAUUAUAAAUAAACAAUUUUUUUAGGGAUAAGCUUAAAAAAAUAUUUUUAUAAUUUAAUAAAUAAAUAAUAAAUUAUAGGAUUAUAAUUUUCUAUAAAUAAAAAAAUGUUAUAAUUAAUUAUUUUUAAAAUAAAAUUUUUAUUAAAUUUAAAUUUUUUAUUAAGAAAAAGUCUUUAUUAAAAAAAGUUUUGUUAUGAUGAUUAAAUUAGUAUAAAUUAAUGUAAAUAUAAAUUAUUAAUAAAGGUUAAUUUAAGGAACUCGGCAAAAAUAUUUUUCACCUGUUUAUUAAAAACAUGUCCUUUUGAUUAUAAUUUAAGGUCUAAUCUGCCCACUGAGGAAUUAAAUGGCCGCGGUAUUUUGACCGUGCAAAGGUAGCAUAAUAAUUAGUUUCUUAAUUAGAAGCUGGAAUGAAAGAUUGAAUGAGAAAAUAACUGUCUCAAAUUAAUUUAAUUAGAAUUUUAUUUUUAAGUUAAAAAGCUUAAAUAAAUUUAAAAGACGAGAAGACCCUAUAGAGUUUAAUUAAAUUUAUUAAUAAAUUUAUUUAGAUUAAAAAAUUUUUAUUAAUAAAUUUAAUUUUGUUGGGGUGACAAAAAAAUUAAAUUAACUUUUUUUAUAUUUA